UACGUAGGGGGCAAGCGUUGUCCGGAUUUAUUGGGCGUAAAGCGCGCGUAGGCGGCAAGGUAUGUCGUGCGUGAAAUCUCCUGGCUUAACUGGGAGGGGUCGUUGGAGACUGGUGUGCUUGAGGCGAUGAGAGGGGUGUAGAAUUCCCGGUGUAGUGGUGAAAUGCGUAGAUAUUGGGAGGAACACCAGUGGCGAAGGCGGCUCACUGGACUGGUACUGACGCUGAUGGCGCGAAAAGCGUGGGGAGCAAACAGG
rnacentral:rRNA from 1 species